rnacentral:rRNA from 1 species
AUGAACGCUGGCGGCGUGCCUAAUACAUGCAAGUCGAGCGAACAGACGAGGAGCUUGCUCCUUCGACGUUAGCGGCGGACGGGUGAGUAACACGUAGGUAACCUACCUAUAAGACUGGGAUAACUUCGGGAAACCGGAGCUAAUACCGGAUAAUAUUUCGAACCGCAUGGUUCGAUAGUGAAGGAUGGCUUUGCUAUCACUUAUAGAUGGACCUGCGCCGUAUUAGCUAGUUGGUAAGGUAACGGCUUACCAAGGCAACGAUACGUAGCCGACCUGAGAGGGUGAUCGGCCACACUGGAACUGAGACACGGUCCAGACUCCUACGGGAGGCAGCAGUAGGGAAUCUUCCGCAAUGGGCGAAAGCCUGACGGAGCAACGCCGCGUGAGUGAUGAAGGUCUUCGGAUCGUAAAACUCUGUUAUUAGGGAAGAACAAACGUGUAAGUAACUGUGCACGUCUUGACGGUACCUAAUCAGAAAGCCACGGCUAACUACGUG